rnacentral:rRNA from 1 species
CGCUGGCGGCGUGCCUAAUACAUGCAAGUCGAACGGUCUUUCUAUGAAAGCUUGCUUCCACUGAGAAGAUAGUGGCGAACGGGUGAGUAACACGUGGGUAACCUGCCCAUAAGAGGGGGAUAACAUCCGGAAACGGGUGCUAAUACCGCAUAGUUUUCUUGAUUGCAUGAUCGGGAAAGGAAAGACGGCCUUUGUGCUGUCGCUUAUGGAUGGACCCGCGGCGUAUUAGUUAGUUGGUGAGGUAACGGCUCACCAAGACGAUGAUACGUAGCCGACCUGAGAGGGUGAUCGGCCACAUUGGGACUGAGACACGGCCCAAACUCCUACGGGAGGCAGCAGUAGGGAAUCUUCCGCAAUGGACGAAAGUCUGACGGAGCAACGCCGCGUGAGUGAAGAAAGGUUUUCGGAUCGUAAAACUCUGUUGUCAGAGAAGAACAAGUUGGAGAGUAACUGCUCCAGCCUUGACGGUAUCUGACCAGAAAGCCACGGCUAACUACGUGCCAGCCGCCGC